GUGUCACACGGAACUGCCGGUCGAUAAACCGGAGGAAGGUGGGGAUGACGUCAAGUCAGCAUGGCCUUUAUAUCCUGGGCUACACACACGCUACAAUGGGAAGGGACAAUAGGUUGCGAAGCCGCGAGGCGGAGCCAAUCCAGCAAAACUUCCCUCAGUUCAGAUUGCAGGCUGCAACUCGCCUGCAUGAAGUUGGAGUUGCUAGUAAACGCAGGUCAGCCAUACUGCGUUGAAUACGUUCCCGGGGCUU
rnacentral:rRNA from 1 species